rnacentral:tRNA from 1 species
AAUUAUUUAGCUUAAAAAAGCAAUUAUCUUUAAAAUAAUUUAUAGGAGUUGAACCCCCCUAAUAAUUU